rnacentral:rRNA from 1 species
CGGAGGGUGCAAGCGUUAAUCGGAAUUACUGGGCGUAAAGGGUUCGUAGGUGGUUUAUUAAGUUAUUUGUAAAAUCCCUGGGCUUAACCUGGGCAGGUCAGAUAAUACUGGUAGACUCGAGUAUGGGAGAGGGUAGUGGAAUUUCCGGUGUAGCGGUGAAAUGCGUAGAGAUCGGAAGGAACACCAGUGGCGAAGGCGGCUACCUGGCCUAAUACUGACACUGAGGAGCGAAAGCGUGGGGAGCAAACAGGAUUAGAUACCCUGGUAGUCCACGCCGUAAACGAUGUCAACUAGCUGUUGGUCAUAUUGAUAUGAUUAAUGGCGCAGCAAACGCGAUAAGUUGACCGCCUGGGGAGUACGGUCGCAAGAUUA